rnacentral:rRNA from 1 species
GACGAACGCUGGCGGCGUGCUUAACACAUGCAAGUCGAACGGAAAGGCCCCUUUUGUGUUACUCGAGUGGCGAACGGGUGAGUAACACGUGAGUAACCUGCCCUUGACUUCGGUAUAACUUCAGGCAACUGGGGCUAAUACCAGAUAGGAAUCCUUGCUGCAUGGUGGGGGUUGGAAAGCUUCGGCGGUUUUGGAUGGACUCGCGGCUUAUCAGCUUGUUGGUGGGGUAGUGGCUUACCAAGGCUUUGACGGGUAGCCGGCCUGAGAGGGCGACCGGCCAACUUGGGACUGGGAUACGGCCCAGACUCCUACGGGAGGCAGCAGUGGGGAAUAUUGCACAAUGGGCGGAAGCCUGAUGCAGCAACGCCGCGUGCGGGAUGACGGCCUUCGGGUUGUAAACCGCUUUCAGCAGGGGCGAAGCUUGUGGUGACGGUACCUGCAGAAGAAGCACCGGCUAACUACGUG